UAACCAUGUUGUGAAUAUGAAUUUAUGAGAUCCUUAAAUCGCACCCAAUAUUGAAAGAAGGUCUCAUCAUCUUUUUGUGCAAAAUUCAUGAUCACUUUCUUUAAGGUA